rnacentral:rRNA from 1 species
UUGGAGGGCAAGUCUGGUGCCAGCAGCCGCGGUAAUUCCAGCUCCAAUAGCGUAUAUUAAAGUUGUUGCAGUUAAAAAGCUCGUAGUUGAAUUUCGGGAUUCUACCGUUGGUCGGGCUAUCCAGUCUGUACUAGCGUGUAGAAUUUCUACCUUCUGGGGAACCAUCAUGUUAUUAAUUUAGCGUGGUGGGAAACCAGGACCUUUACCUUGAAAAAAUUAGAGUGUUCAAAGCAGGCUUACGUCUGAAUACAUUAGCAUGGAAUAAUAGAAUAGGACGGUGGUCCUGUUUUGUUGGUUUCUGAAUCACCGUAAUGAUUAAUAGGGAUAGUUGGGGGCAUUAGUAUUCAAUUGUCAGAGGUGAAAUUCUUGGAUUUAUUGAAGACUAACUUCUGCGAAAGCAUUUGCCAAGGAUGUUUUCAUUAAUCAAGAACGAAAGUUAGGGGAUCGAAGACGAUCAGAUACCGUCGUAGUCUUAACCAUAAACUAUGCCGACUAGGGAUCGGACGAUGUUAAAUAUUAUUGACUCGUUCGGCGCCUUACGGGAAAC